rnacentral:rRNA from 1 species
AAUCAACGCUGGCGGCGUGCCUAACACAUGCAAGUCGAGCGGGGAAAGGGGGCUUCGGUCCCUGAGUAUAGCGGCGGACGGGUGAGUAACACGUGGGUAAUUUGCCCUUGGGUGUGGAAUAACUCAGGGAAACUUGAGCUAAUACCGCAUGACAUCCCCUUCACACACGAGUUGGGGAUCAAAGCCGGGGACCCUUCGGGGCCUGGCGCCUGAGGAGAAGCCCGCGCCCGAUUAGCUAGUUGGNGAGGUAAUGGCUCACCAAGGCUUCGAUCGGUAGCCGGCCUGAGAGGGCGGACGGCCACACUGGGACUGAGACACGGCCCAGACUCCUACGGGAGGCAGCAGUGGGGUAAUUUUGUCAAUGGGGGAAACCCUGAACAAGCAACGCCGCGUGGAGGACGACGACCU